rnacentral:rRNA from 1 species
CACGUAGGGCGCAAGCGUUGUCCGGAAUUAUUGGGCGUAAAGAGCUCGUAGGCGGUUUGUCGCGUCUGCUGUGAAAACCUAAGGCUCAACCUUGGGCUUGCAGUGGGUACGGGCAGACUAGAGUGCGGUAGGGGUGACUGGAAUUCCUGGUGUAGCGGUGGAAUGCGUAGAUAUCAGGAGGAACACCGGUGGUGUAGACGGCUCUCUGGACCGUAACUGACGCUGAGGCACGAAAGCGUGGGUAGCAAACAGG